GAUGAACGCUGGCGGCGUGCCUAAUACAUGCAAGUCGAGCGAACAGACGAGGCGCUUGCUCCUCUGACGUUAGCGGCGGACGGGAGAGUAACACGUGGAUAACCUCCCUAUAAGACUGGGAUAACUUCGGGAAACCGGAGCUAAUACCGGAUAAUAUAUUGAACCGCAUGGUUCAAUAGUGAAAGACGGUUUUGCUGUCACUUAUAGAUGGAUCCCCGCCGCAUUAGCUAGUUGGUAAGGUAACGGCUUACCAAGGCAACUAGGCGUGACCGACCUGUCAGAGUGAUCGGCCACCCUGGAGCUGAGCCAGGGACCAGGGUCCUACGGGAGGCAGCAGUAGGGAACCUGCCGCAAUGGGCGAAAGCCUGACGGAGCAACGCCGCGUGAGUUAUGAAGGUCUUCGGAUCGGAAUACUCUGUUAUUAGUGAAGAACAAAUGUGUAAGUAACUAUGCACUUCUUGACGGUACUUGAUCAGAAAGCCACGGCUAACUACGUG
rnacentral:rRNA from 1 species